GACAGCGUGGUGUAAUGGCGCACGCUUGGUAGUAUUGGCCGCCAUCCGAGAAGCCAAGAAGAGUUGGUUCGAUUCCAGCAGUUGCCA